rnacentral:rRNA from 1 species
CACUUCUAAGGAAGGCAGCAGGCGCGCAAAUUACCCAAUCCUGACUCAGGGAGGUAGUGACAAGAAAUAACAAUAAACCGGCUUAUGCCGGUUUAAUUGGAAUGAGUACAAUUUAAACAUCUUAACGAGGAACAAUUGGAGGGCAAGUCUGGUGCCAGCAGCCGCGGUAAUUCCAGCUCCAAUAGCGUAUACUAAAGUUGUUGCAGUUAAAAAGCUCGUAGUUGGAUUUCUGUGGGGACGGAGCGGCCGGCCGCACAUCGCGGUUCGAGCUAGCGCUUUCCCUACAUCCUGCCGCGAACCGUGCUACCAUUAGUUUGGUGGCGCCGGGGAUCGGCUCGAUUACUUUGAGAAAAAUAGAGUGUUCAAAGCAGGCCACAUGCCUUGAAUAAGUUAGCAUGGAAUAAUAACUAAGGACUUCGGUUCUAUUUUGUUGGUGUUCGGGACUGAAGUAAUGAUUGAUAGGGACAGUUGGGGCGGUCUGUAUUCCAAAGCGAGAGGUGAAAUUCUUAGACCUUCGGAAGACAAACAGCUGCGAAAGCGUUCCGCAAGGAUGUUCCCUUUGAUCAAGAACGAAAGUUGGGGGAUCGAAGACGAUCAGAUACCGUCGUAGUCUCAACUAUAAACUAUACCAGCUAGGGAUCGGCCAACGUUAUUCUAUACCGACUUGGUCGGCACCUUAUGAGAAAUCAAAGCAUCUGGGUUCCGGGGGGAGUAUGGUCGCAAGGCUGAAACUUAAAGGAAUUGACGGAAGGGCACCACCAGCCGUGGAGCCUGUGGCUUAAUUUGACUCAACACGGGAAAACUUACCAGGUCCAGACAUAGUAAGGAUUGACAGAUUGAUAGCUCUUUCUUGAUUCUGUGGGUGGUGGUGCAUGGCCGUUCUUAGUUGGUGGAGUGAUUUGUCUGGUUAAUUCCGUUAACGAACGAGACCCCAGCCUGCUAAAUAGCGCGCGUGAGCUUUGCUCGCGGCGAGCUUCUUAGAGGGACUAUGAUGCGCGAUAGCACAUGGAAGUUUGGGGCAAUAACAGGUCUGUGAUGCCCUUAGAUGUUCUGGGCCGCACACGGGCUACACUGGCGCCUGCAACGAGCAUAUCAGCUGGCCCGAGAGGGUCUUGGCUAAUCUUUUGAACCGGCGCCGUGCUUGGGAUUGACCUUUGCAAUUGUUGGUCAUGCAACGAGGAAUGCCUUGUAAACGCGAGUCAUCAGCUCGCAUUGAAUACGUCCCUGCCCUUUGUACACACCGCCCGUCGCUCCUACCGAUGAAUGUUCCGAUGAAAUUUUCGGAGAGCACCUGUGAACUUGGCUCUGCCUUGCGAACGGGAGGCUCAAAGUCACUUAAAUCUGAACAUUU